UCUAGAACUCGAGAUAUGGGCUGAACACUGAACAGUGUCUGGGCUGCAGGACAGAUUCAGACUUCUUUGUUGUUGCUAUAAUUUGGACUUGAAAACGGCCUUGUUAAAUCUUGGACUCCUCAUGAAAGUUGUAGGCCUAUGUCUUAGCUUUCCAUC
rfam:Populus trichocarpa scaffold_4_contig_349, whole genome shotgun sequence.